rnacentral:rRNA from 1 species
UACGAAGGGGGCUAGCGUUGCUCGGAAUCACUGGGCGUAAAGGGCACGUAGGCGGAUCUUUAAGUCAGGGGGGAAAUCCUGGAGCUCAACUCCAGAACUGCCUUUGAUACUGGGGAUCUCGAGUCCGGAAGAGGUGAGUGGAACUCCGAGUGUAGAGGUGAAAUUCGUAGAUAUUCGGAAGAACACCAGUGGCGAAGGCGGCUCACUGGUCCGGUACUGACGCUGAGGUGCGAAAGCGUGGGGAGCAAACAGG